rnacentral:rRNA from 1 species
UACGUAGGGUGCAAGCGUUACUCGGAAUUACUGGGCGUAAAGCGUGCGUAGGUGGUUUGUUAAGUCUGAUGUGAAAGCCCUGGGCUCAACCUGGGAAUUGCAUUGGAUACUGGCAAGCUAGAGUGCGGUAGAGGAUGGCGGAAUUCCCGGUGUAGCAGUGAAAUGCGUAGAGAUCGGGAGGAACAUCUGUGGCGAAGGCGGCCAUCUGGACCAGCACUGACACUGAGGCACGAAAGCGUGGGGAGCAAACAGG